AGCGAACGCUGGCGGCAGGCUUAACACAUGCAAGUCGAGCGGGCAUCCUUGUGGUGUCAGCGGCAGACGGGUGAGUAACGCGUGGGAACGUGCCCGUCGGUUCGUAAUAACUCAGGGGAACUUGAGCUAAUACCGGAUACGUGCGAGAGCAGAAAGGUUUAUCUGCCGAAGGAUCGGCCCGCGUCUGAUUAGCUAGUUGGUGAGGUUACGGCUCACCAAGGCGACGAUCAGUAGCUGGUCUGAGAGGAUGAUCAGCCACACUGGGACUGAGACACGGCCCAGACUCCUACGGGAGGCAGCAGUGGGGAAUAUUGGACAAUGGGGGCAAGCCUGAUCCAGCCAUGCCGCGUGAGUGAUGAAGGCCUUAGGGUUGUAAAGCUCUUUUCUCCGGGACGAUAAUGACGGUACCGGGGGAAUAAGCCCCGGCUAACUUCGUG
rnacentral:rRNA from 1 species